UGAUCCUGGCUCAGGAUGAACGCUAGCGGCAGGCCUAACACAUGCAAGUCGAGGGGCAGCGGGAGUGCUUGCACUCGCCGGCGACCGGCGCACGGGUGCGGAACGCGUAUCGAAUCUGCCUCUAUCUGGGGGAUACCCCAUGGAAACGUGGAAUAAUACCCCAUAGUAUUACUUUAUCGCAUGAUUUAGUAAUUAAAGAAUUUCGGAUAGAGAUGACGAUGCGUAUCAUUAGCUAGUAGGUAAGGUAACGGCUUACCUAGGCAACGAUGAUUAGGGGUCCUGAGAGGGAGAUCCCCCACACUGGUACUGAGACACGGACCAGACUCCUACGGGAGGCAGCAGUGAGGAAUAUUGGACAAUGGUCGAAAGACUGAUCCAGCCAUGCCGCGUGCAGGAUGACUGCCCUAUGGGUUGUAAACUGCUUUUAUACGGGAAGAAAAACACCUACGUGUAGGUGACUGACGGUACCGUAAGAAUAAGGACCGGCUAACUCCGUGCCAGCAGCCGCGGUAAUACGGAGGGUCCAAGCGUUAUCCGGAAUCAUUGGGUUUAAAGGGUCCGUAGGCGGGCUAUUAAGUCAGAGGUGAAAGUUUGCAGCUCAACUGUAAAAUUGCCUUUGAUACUGAUAGUCUUGAAUUGUAGUGAAGUGGUUAGAAUAUGUGGUGUAGCGGUGAAAUGCAUAGAUAUCACAUAGAAUACCGAUUGCGAAGGCAGAUCACUAACUAUAUAUUGACGCUGAGGGACGAAAGCGUGGGGAGCGAACGGGAUUAGAUACCCCGGUAGU
rnacentral:rRNA from 1 species